rfam:Rhizoctonia solani AG-1 IA unplaced genomic scaffold scaffold6, whole genome shotgun sequence.
GGCCGCUUGGUCUAGUAGUAUGAUUCCUGUUUUGGGAGUUAAGCACUUGCUUGCACACGCUGAAUACAGGAGGUCGUGGGUUCAAUUCCCACAGCGGCCC